rnacentral:lncRNA from 1 species
UUUGUGUUCAGCCUGUUGUAUGUAGGGGGAAGCUGAGGCUCAGCAAUGUCAAGUAACCGUUCCCAGGACUGGACGGUCUGACUACAAGCCUGGCUAACACGUUGACCAGUGGGAGCUCUGCAGGCACCUUGGAGAUACCAGGGAUCCCUCCUCUGCAUAUCAAGAAAUGCCGUAUACAUGAAGGAGCACGAAGUGUGGACUUCCACAUGGUUUCUGGCAACAGCACAGAUCAGGAACAUGGCUUCUAGCUGCGAUCAGCCCACAAACCCAGACAAAGAACUGGGAGGCAGUCUUGACCGUGAACACAUCACCAUGGCCUCGGGUGGUAGUGCAGGCCACGCUGAUCAGUAUGACCCCUGGACAUCAAUGGACAUGGCUUCUGGUGGCAGCACAGAGCACGGACAUCUGCAUGCCCUCCAGUGGAAGCAUG